CCCCUCUCAACCCCCUAUCCCCAAGCUCAGGGCGGCGGGCAGCGCGCCGGGACCGCCCGCACCGCGACUCAGGAGGAAUUCAGUGACACACCUUUGCUUCGUAUGCUCUUCCGCAUCAGAUGCCACUGUGUCAGGACUGCCCCUCUGCUGCUAUCUGUCGUAUGGCAACAACAUGGAACGGAAUGUCGGCGGGAAGGUUUGACAUCUCCUGCCAUACCACAGCAUCUGCCUCUGACGCUGUGGGCCAGUGUAAUAAAAUAGGAGGCAUUACUUUCA